rnacentral:rRNA from 1 species
GACGAACGCUGGCGGCGUGCUUAACACAUGCAAGUCGAACGGAAAGGCCCUGCUUUUGUGGGGUGCUCGAGUGGCGAACGGGUGAGUAACACGUGAGUAACCUGCCCUUGACUUUGGGAUAACUUCAGGAAACUAGGGCUAAUACCGGAUAGGAGCUCCUGCUGCAUGGUGGGGGUUGGAAAGUUUCGGCGGUUGGGGAUGGACUCGCGGCUUAUCAGCUUGUUGGUGGGGUAGUGGCUUACCAAGGCUUUGACGGGUAGCCGGCCUGAGAGGGUGACCGGCAACAUUGGGACUGAGAUACGGCCCAGACUACUACAGGAGGCAGCAGUGGGGAAUAUUGCACAAUGGGCGGAAGCCUGAUGCAGCAACGCCGCGUGCGGGAUGACGGCCUUCGGGUUGUAAACCGCUUUCGCCUGUGACGAAGCGUGAGUGACGGUAAUGGGUAAAGAAGCACCGGCUAACUACGUG